GCGGUGGGAACAGGUCUACCCGUCAGCUUACCUAGGAUGUGCCCUGGUGGUUUGAGGUGUAGAGAAGCAAGAGAGGCCUGGUGGGAGAUUAAAGGCAGAAAUAAGGCCGCUAGGUAGCUUGCCAACUGCAAAGCCUCUAGUUGGUUCUUUACCGGUUGCCAGGAACCUCGCACCGCCGGAGGGGAGAGAGAAACUGGGUGAGCCGCACGGCACCUAAGGAGGGCUUCCCCGCCCGGCUGGGGUGGGAGAGUUGAGCUGCGGCUUCCUUCUCGAACUUCCUGGUCUUAGUCUAGCCCUAGGGAGAGGCUCGUUUGGGAAGUCACAGUUUUCAUGGGGUAGAACCUGGUGGAUUGUGUGUGAGCAGAGUUGUCCGCGCGGGCGUCGGCAGGGAGGUGUGGAAGUGUGAGGUGUGGUUUGCUGAAAUCCUUCUCUGGUCGUAAGGCUUGAGUGUUUGGUUUUUGUUUGUUCAGUGCUACAGACUGCAGCUUGUGGCCGGUGAGUUGGCAAGUCCCAGAGGGUCUCGGUUCGGCGGGAGCUAUGGGAUGGAACUAGUGCAUCGGCAGAGCAACCCAAGGGGGCAGCCAGGUCGGGGGGCAGCGCAUGCAGUGAACCGCCAUGCAGAACUCCUGGGGCUCUCUUCCCAGCCCGGGGAGCCGGGGAGAGUGCGCCAUCACGACGACAGGAGGAAGCCCAGACUGGGGUGUGCAGGAGCACGUGGCCUCGCCUUCCUGCCGUGAGCUGAGCUCGCGGAACGCACCGCAGAGUCCCCAGCACUACCGGCAGGGGUGCCAACAGUGAACUGCGGAUGGCAGCAGGAGAGUACGAGCCAGAAAACUGGCCCCUGGAACCGGCUGGCCUGCUGAGGAGACACCAUGCUCUGGAGCCUCCCCGUGCACUUAGGGGGCCCCUAGGCUUCAGCACAUCCCUCCAUCUUGCUAACCUAAAAAUUACACAGUGAGGCCGGGGAAAGCAGGCAGCAGUGACAGCAGAGGGGAACCAGGCUUCCUGGUCUCGACACAGGCUUUCCGCUGAGCGCCCACAGCGUGGCGGGCCCUGCGCACUCGCCAGAUCGCCCUGCCAGCAUCUCUGCAAGCUAGGAACAGCCACGACCCUCGUCGUACAGACAAGAAGCUGGAGACACAGAGAGGCUGCGAUUCCAGCGCAGCCCUGGAUAUGUCAGAUGAAGAUCUCACCAGACACGGCCCUAACCACCUCUCUGAAGAAGCAAGAUCCAGAAACACAGGACUGACACACAGCCUUCGGCGUCAGUUCCUUCCCACCCCUGAUGAGCAGCCAAGCUCAAAAUUUGGAAAUUCCAACAACCCACGCUCAGAAGGCCAGAACCUUCUUGUGUGUGCAGCAGUAUUGAGAUAAACCUUGAUUUCAAGAUGUCGAAAUCUGAGCUAUCUUCAUCUCUUGCCAUGUGGCUUUGUGAUACAGGAGACAAAAAAAGAAAUUUCAAGUAAGAGUAUCCGAUUUGUAAUGGAAGAGAAAUUAUAAAGCGUGUCAGGGGCCCAUCGUAAAGCAAGCUCACUGCCCAGAGGAAGAAAAGUGGCUCAAGGAAGGCCAUUCGAGAGGUCAGCUUAGGUUGAUGGGAUAAAGGAAAACACUCGUCAUUCUGGGCGGAUCGGGCCAUUUUCCAUCUCCAAAUCCCUUAAUAACCAAGGCUCUACCAAGUCAAUUUUAUGUUUGUUUCUUGCAAAGAGUUACAUUUCCUGCUCUGCUGAACAGACCCGGGGCAGUGCAGCCUGCAGUGAAUCACAUUCUCCCAAGCUGGCCUUCUACAUUCGGGACCUGCCCAAAGCAGAGAGCAACAAAAAGACGGUUUUAUAAGCCAAGAGACAACUAAAGGAAACUGCUGGUUUUCCAGACAUGCCUGGCAGCAGCAGGAAAACAACAGCAUUAUUUCUGCCCCUUGUUCACAGGAACUAGAACCAUUUUCCACGACAGAAUAAGUUAACUCCUCACAGAGACACCAUAUCAUCUCAAAAGGAAGGUGCCUGGCCAUCUAACUAACUAGUGAGGCAGUGGAGAAAAGAAAGAAAUCUAAUUACAGUACUUGGGUUGGCUCUUGGCAUGACUGGCUUGGAAACUAAAUAAAAUCUAGACCUUGUCAGGAGAGGACUACAGCCCUUUGAGCAGAGUCUCUUGUGAGGCAGGAUCAAGCCAAAGAGUGAGAAGCAGCUGGUUAUUCAGCACUUCUGGUUUUCCAGCAAGUUCCUGGGACUAAAACCACACUGACCAAAUGUUUCUGACCAACACUUACAUUUCAACAGAAGAAACAGACACUAUUCGUUAGGACAUAGUCUGGUGGAGAAACCACCUCUAAUGUUAUGAAAUGCUGCUUAGAUCUUAGGAAAGAGAGUCGUCAAUUUAAUGUUCUGAGACUGAGUCCGUUGAGAAUAAAAACCAUCUUGUCUUCAGCUGUGUAGCCCCAGACAUUGUGUCUGGCACUUGGUAGGGGGUCCACAUAACUCUAUAGGGUAGAUGUAGGGUUUGUAAACCAGUCCACAAAAUUAAAACCCUAGGUCAAUUAAAUAUUCCCCUGGGUUAAGUAAGCUUAUUUCCUUUGUGGACCAGGAUCUUAAAAUUACACAUCUCAAACCUUCACAUCGAACCGAAUCUGGCUCCGAGCCCUGGGUGUCAAGACAAAGCCAGUCCCACUUCCACACACUGCUGGUGGGAUAACUAAAGGGUACGGCCUCUAAGGAGGAAAACUCACCAACAUCUAUCAAGAUUACCAACGCCCACCAAUUCCUUUUCUAGGAAUUCAUCCUCCAGAUAGAUUCCUAAGCAUGCAAAGUGAAUGUACAAAGUCAUUUACUACAGCAACAGACUGGAAACAACGCAAACAUCCACUGAUAAAGGAGCAGUUAAAUAAGGUAUAGUCAUGUGAACGAAUGAAGAAAUACUUCGGAUCCUGCCGUGGAGCAAUCUCUAAGGCACAGCAGAGCGUGCACGGUAUGCUGUCGCCUGUAUCGAGAAGAAGGGGAAGGGCACCUCCAGCAUGGCAGGGCGAGGGCUCCCGAAAACCUGCUUCUCCACAGAAACAACACGAACACUGGCAAAAUUGUCAAGAUCAACUUUUGGGAACUCUGGAAAUUAACCAAAGUCUUGCAACAAUUCAGAGAGUGUUUAUGUAAGAAACUGUGCAAUAUUCACCACCCCUGUCUCCCCAGAUCUGCAGUAGUUUUGAAACCAACAGCCUUGUAACCAGCUGUGAAAGCCAGCACCCCGGCAACCACUGGAGGGGAGUACAUUAGGACUGCAGCCCCAGCCUCAGAAAACUGUCACUAUCUGGCCUAUCUGCUCCUCCUUGGAAAAAGACCGUCCUCAGGGCCUGUUUUUAAUGGAGCUGAUUCAGGUCUUCCUCUAGAGAAAUGCCCUAUCUCUAGACGUUUACCAAAAAAAAAAAAAAAAAAAUCAAUUGAAAACAAGAGGCCAGCUACAACACUCAGAAGGAAGUCCUGCAUAUUCCUGGGGAUCUGUAAGGACGGACGGACACACACACACACACACGCACGCACGCGCGCGCCUGUCACAUACCCAGGAGAAACCUACGAAGGCCUCAGUCUGUCAGCCACAGCUGACUGAGUGCUGAAGGUGUGCCCCCAAACACACACACACGUGCGCGCGCGCGCGUGGUUGCUCAGCAAAGGGUGGGUUCAGUGCAUUUAAGGAAAUCUCUUUCUAGUCAUUCAGCUGACCACUACCCUAACCAAGCAGAAACUUCAAUGGCUGCACAUAACAAAGGACACAGACUACAGAAUUAGCACAAGAGUCACUAAACAAAUAGCGACAACAACACACCCAGGGAGGGGAAGGGGAGCUGAUUUUCGGAGCUGCCACAUUGUACUAUUUGAAAUGUUCAGUUUUCAACAAGAAAAAAUUUACAAGACAUUCCAAGCAAGAGUAAAUAAAUAAAGUG